CUGAUUCCCAAGGCAGCAAUGAUCAGAGGGGAUGGGCUGCUCCUGUUAAAGUUCUUCUGUCAAAUUUGAGGGCUUGGUUGAUCAUUUUAUGAACCAAUUUCCUGAGAUCUCAGCACACUUCAUGCUUUGCGGUUUCUCCUGGGCUCACCUUUCAGGAGCUAUAGCCAGUGACUGCAGUAUGGCUUGACUACAUGUUUUUGCACCUGUUUUGGCUGCAAUGUUCAGAGGUUUGUCUUGUGGGUCCAAGCAGUCCUGUCUGGAUGUGAAGUAGCUGAAGAGGUUGAUGCUGAAGGCUGAUAAUCAAAUACAAAUAGCUGUUCUCAUCCCUGUUCUCACCCUGCCUCUUCUAAAGAUCAGAGCCUGCCCAGACUCAGCUGUGUUUGUCUAUUAACAGAUGAGAUUACUGCUCUGAGAUGAGGUACUGCUUAUGCUGCACUAAAAGGUUGGUCUUAGAGCAGUCACAGGUAUGUGAGGCCACAUGACUGCCUGCCUUGGCACAUGAAGCUGGAUGCUGUGCCACCCCCUCACAUGUGGCCCAGAGUGUACAUUCACAGGCACUUGGAGGACCACGCUGUAGAGAAUUAGUAGAUCUGCCGUGAGGGAGCCUUGGCCCUUUGUAACAGGCAGCACAGACAUAGCCUUGGUUUUUCCUGCUGGAAUUUAGCUUGAAAAAAAACCCUGAAGUCUCCCUCUCUGACUUUACCAGGAGUUAUUGUGGAGUGACCUAGAGGAAGAGAAAAUGAAUCCACUGCAUGUAACCAUACUGUGAGGAAAUGGGGGUUUGGUGCUGGAGUGACUGAUAAAAAAUUUAAUGUGUUUUCCUGGUGCUUUUUUUAGUGUUGAAGUGUUAAUGAGCCUUUGAGACAAUUUUUUUAUCAGUUCUCAGUAUAUGCCGCAGCAUAAGGGAUCAUAGUUUCAAGAACAGAG